GACCUCGAAUCAGGUGGGACUACCCGCUGAACUUAAG
rnacentral:rRNA from 1 species